rnacentral:tRNA from 1 species
GCGGACGUAGCCGAAUUGGUAUAGGCGCAGCGCUUAGGACGCUGUAGGGAAACCUGUGUGGGUUCGACUCCCACCGUCCGCA